CAUUUUUUUUUCUUUUUUUGAGGCAGGGUCUCACUCUGUCUCCCAGGCUGGAGUGCAGUGGUGUGAUCACAGCUCACUGCAGCCUUGAACUGGGCUCAAGGGAUCCUCCUGCCUUAGCCUCCCAAGUAGCUGAGAUCAUAGGUGUACACCACCACACCCACCUAUUUUUUUAUUUUAAUUAAUUUUUUGUAGAGAUGGAUUAUUGCUAUGUUGCCUAGGUUGGUCUUAAACUCCUGGGCUCAAGUGAUCCUCCCUACUUGACCUCCCAAAAUAUGGGGAUUAUAGGUGUGACCCACUGCACCUGGCCCUCUCUAGGAUAUUUCAAGGGGAAAAAAGAAAAGCACAGAACAGCAUGUAUAUAUUAUGCUGCCAUUUAAAUAAAAAAACAAAGGAGGGCCAGGUAUGGUGGCUCAUGUCUGUAGUCCCAUCUACUCGGGAGGCUGAGGCAGGAGGAUUGCUUGAGGCCAGGAGUUUGCGACAAGCCUUGGUGACAUAGUAAGACCUUGUCCCUUAAGAAAAAAGGAAAGAAGGAAUAUAUACACACAUAUACAUAUAUAUGUGCUUUUUUUUGUUCUUGAUUUUUUUUUCACAUAAUUGCGUGUAUAAACUUUCUGAUGGAUUGAUUUUUCCUUUCUGUCUCGAUUAUCUAGCCUCUGAUGUGCUCAAGAGCUGGAUCUGCUGACUUAUCAAAAAAGUGACAUUUGGCCGGGCGCGGUGGCUCACACCUGAAUUCCCAGCACUUUGGGAGGCUGGGGUGUAAGGAUCAUUUGAGCCCAGGAGUUUGAGACCAGCUUAGGCAACAAAAUGAAGUCUCACUCUGUCGCCCAGGCUGGAGUGCAAUGGCACGAUCUAGGCUCACUGCAACCUCUGCCUCCUUGGUUCAAGGGAUUCUCCUGUCUCGGCCUCCUGAGCAGCUGGGAUUAUAGGCGUGCGCCACCUCGCCUGGCUAAUUUUUUUGUAUUUUUGUAGAGAUGGGGUUUCACCAUGUUGGCCAGGCUGGUCUUGAACUCCGGACCUCAAGUGACCCACCUGCCUCGGCCUCCCAAAGUGCUGGGAUUGCAGGCGUGAGCCACUGUGCCCGGCCUCACCUGAUGGUUUCUUAGCAAACUUCAGUAGAAUGUUUACAACGCGGCCCUGAUAAACUUGAGUGCUGGUAGGAGGUGCUACCUCGCUCAAUCUGUGAGCAACCAGCCCCGUGCCCUGGAUGCUUGGCAGGUGGAGAGAAAGACAGUGUUACGUGGGCAAGCCUCCAACUCACCAGUUGCAGGCAGAGUAUCUGGUCUCCGUCUGCUGCUGUAGCCCUGUGAGUCAGCCAGACGUGUGGUCCCCAAGCCAGCUUCCCACCUAGCACCCUUGUUCUGCUACAGCUCCCCCACCUGCCCUCCUGCAUUGCCUAGGAUCCCACGCCCCGCUUUCAAUCUGCUCUGGGACAUUUGUCUUCUUCUUUGCAGGGGACUAAGUAUAUGACUUAAUGAAUCCUAAAAGGAAAAAAAGAUGUCAGGAAAAAAAAGUGCACACAAGAAAUGUUGCAACAUCUCAUCCUUAGCAACUUUGUUUGGUUAGUACUGCAUAACUCACAGCAGAUUCCAAGGCACCUGCCUUGAACAUUGCUACAUGCUCUAGGCAUUAUCAGGAAUGCAGCCAGGGCGCCUGCAAAGUUGUCUCCAGUUUCUGGGUAGGAGGACCAUCAUCCGUAUUGUCUGUGGCUUUGUGUCUGAGUUGGGCUACUGAGCCUGUGACUUCAGACCCCUUGUCUGCCUGAUGGAUACAUUCGGUAUAAUACGUUACCACCACAAUUUCAUGAAUGUAACUAAUGAAGAUCUAGCCCUUCCAUGCCUCCUGCUGAACUAUGUCACCUGUGAUAAUAAAACCUCUACACAUAGCAUUUUAUACAAAGCAAGUCAAACAGCAAUGAUAGUGGCAAGUGAUGUAUUUGGCUUAAAGAAGCUUGUGUUACUGAAGUUAACGCAGAAGUCUGGCCUCCGUUCGUGGGAUUAUUAAAUAUAUAUCCUACGGGAUCAGAGUCAUCUAUUAGAAACAGUGAUAGCCCUGGGUAUAAAUAAACAUUUCUUUAGA